GACGAACGCUGGCGGCGUGCUUAACACAUGCAAGUCGAACGAAGAGCGAUGGAAGCUUGCUUCUAUCAAUCUUAGUGGCGAACGGGUGAGUAACGCGUAAUCAACCUGCCCUUCAGAGGGGGACAACAGUUGGAAACGACUGCUAAUACCGCAUACGAUCUAAUCUCGGCAUCGAGGAUAGAUGAAAGGUGGCCUCUACAUGUAAGCUAUCACUGAAGGAGGGGAUUGCGUCUGAUUAGCUAGUUGGAGGGGUAACGGCCCACCAAGGCGAUGAUCAGUAGCCGGUCUGAGAGGAUGGACGGCCACAUUGGGACUGAGACACGGCCCAGACUCCUACGGGAGGCAGCAGUGGGGAAUCUUCCGCAAUGGACGAAAGGCUGACGGAGCAACGCCGCGUGAGGGAUGACGGCCUUCGGGUUGUAAAGCUCUGUUAAUCGGGACGAAAGGCCUUCUUGCGAACAGUUAGAAGGAUUGACGGUACCGGAAUAGAAAGCCACGGCUAACUACGUG
rnacentral:rRNA from 1 species